UACCCGCUGAGUUUAAGCAUAUCAAUAAGCGGAGGAAAAGAAACUAACGAGGAUUCCCCUAGUAACGGCGAGCGAACC
rnacentral:rRNA from 1 species